rnacentral:sRNA from 1 species
UCUUUGGGCCGACGGUUCGCGGAGCCGGGU